GAAAUGCGAUAAGUAAUGUGAAUUGCAGAAUUCAGUGAAUCAUCGAAUCUUUGAACGCACCUUGCGCUCCUUGGUAUUCCUUGGAGCAUGCCUGUUUGAGUAUCAUGAAAUCUUCAAAGUAAAUCUUUUGUUAACUCAAUUGGUUUCUACUUUGGUAUUGGAGGUCUUUGCAGCUUCACACCUGCUCCUCUUUGUUCAUUAGCUGAAUCUCAGUGUUAUGCUUGGUUCCACUCGGCGUGAUAAGUUAUCUAUCGCUGAGGACACUGUAAAAGGUGGCCAAGGUAAAUGCAGAUGAACCGCUUCUAAUAGUCCAUUGACUUGGACAAUACUUUUAUGAUCUGAUCUCAAAUCAGGUAGGACUACCCGCUGAACUUAAGC
rnacentral:misc_RNA from 1 species